GUCGGACGGCAGCGCGGGCUUCGGCCUGGCGGCGAGUGGCGAACGGGUGAGUAAUACAUCGGAACGUGUCCUGGAGUGGGGGAUAGCCCGGCGAAAGCCGGAUUAAUACCGCAUACGCUCUGAGGAGGAAAGCGGGGGAUCUUUCGGGACCUCGCGCUCAAGGGGCGGCCGAUGGCACAUUAGGUAUUUGGUGGGGUAAAGGCCUACCAAGCCGACGAUCUGUAUCUGGUCUGAGAGGACGACCAGCCACACUGGGACUGAGACACGGCCCAGACUCCUACGGGAGGCAGCAGUGGGGAAUUUUGGACAAUGGGGGCAACCCUGAUCCUCCAAUGCCGCGUGUGUGAAGAACGCCUUCGGUUUGUAAAGCACUUUUGUCCGGAAAGAAAACUUCCUGGUUAAUACCUGGGGAGGCUGACGGUACCAAGAAUAACACCGGCUAACUACGUGCCACAGCCGCGGUAAUACUUAGGGUGCGAGCGUUAAUCAGAAUUACUGG
rnacentral:rRNA from 1 species